GAUGAACGCUAGCGGCAGGCUUAACACAUGCAAGUCGAGGGGUAUAGUUCUUCGGAACUAGAGACCGGCGCACGGGUGCGUAACGCGUAUGCAAUCUACCUUAUACAGGGGAAUAGCCCAGAGAAAUUUGGAUUAAUGCCCCAUAGUGUUAUCGAAUCGCAUGGUUUGAUAACUAAAGUUCCAACGGUAUAAGAUGAGCAUGCGUCCCAUUAGUUAGUUGGUAAGGUAACGGCUUACCAAGACAAUGAUGGGUAGGGGUCCUGAGAGGGAGAUCCCCCACACUGGUACUGAGACACGGACCAGACUCCUACGGGAGGCAGCAGUGAGGAAUAUUGGACAAUGGGCGCAAGCCUGAUCCAGCCAUGCCGCGUGCAGGAUGACGGUCCUAUGGAUUGUAAACUGCUUUUGUACAGGAAGAACACUCCCUCGUGAGGGAGCUUGACGGUACUGUAAGAAUAAGGAUCGGCUAACUCCGUGCCAGCAGCCGACGG
rnacentral:rRNA from 1 species